CUUCUGUAGCACUAAAGUGCUUAUAGUGCAGGUAGUGUCCAGUUAUCUACUGCAUUACGAGCACUUAAAGUACUGCUGGCU
rnacentral:pre_miRNA from 10 species